UUUUUUUUUUUGGUGGUGGUGGUGUUGUCUUUUUUGUCUCUUUAGGGCCGCACCCGUGGCAUAUGGAGGUUCCCAGGCUAGUGGUCAAACUGGAGCUGCAGCUGGAGUCUAUGUCACAGCCACAGGAACACUGGAUCCAAGCAGCAUCAGCAACCUACACAGCAGCUUUCCUCAAUGCCAGAUCCUUAACUCACUGAACUAGGUUAGAGGUGGAACCCACAUCCUCACAGACACCGUGUCAGGCCCUUAACCUGCUGAGCCACAACAGGAACUGACUGUAUUUUCUUACAAAGGCAUAACCAAGUGCUUUACAGGAACUAAGAAAAAAAGUCUGCAAAUAGGUAAUGUAACAUUUCAUUACUGAGAAAUGUGCACAGGACUACCUAUCACAAACCAGUGAAUGUCAGUGGAGGCAAGAGAAAUUGCCUGACUCUCAGAAAAGCUGAGAGACAUUACAAAGCAAUAACUGGCUUCUGGGCCAAUUCAUAAGGAGUUGUUACUUCUUUCUUAGUGGUACAUAAAGUAAUGGUGAACUUGCCAUUAAUAGAAUCCUAAAUAUAUCUUUUUCAUCAGGGUUAAGUAUUAAGUAAACCUUGAUAAGAGUUUGGAGUAAUAUGUAUUGCACUUAGGACUCACACACAUAAACUUCAUCUUCUUCAAGACCCGCAGGCCCUCAAACCCUCAAAGCCAUAAAACACACGUCCAAUCUUGGAAACCAUCUGAAGUGACAUUCUGCAACACAUAUGUAUGCUUAGCCAGCUACAUGGGGGAUUGUGUGUCACCUUUCCUACCUUCAAGCCUAGAAAGCUUCUAGAAAACAGGUCCAGGUCAUCAAUCGGGUUUGCUCACUUAAUGGAGGAGAUGAGCAGAACAUAUCCAGCCCACAGGCUAGCCUAAAACACAGCCUGGAAGAGCAUUAGGUGCUACGAGUGAAUGCUCCAAUCUCACAAAUCAAUAAAUCACUCUUAUUCCUGGGCAGAAGGCGCUGCUCGAGCUCAAAGGGAUGCAGAAGGAGCCGGAGGAGGGCUUCCAGGGUGACCCUGGGACAAGCGACUAGUACAACUAGCAAGUGGCUAUCUUCCAGCCAAACACCUAGUACGAAGGCGGCUACUUGAGAGCAUGCCUCAAGCCCCCCGUCUGUCUUACUUCCCUCAGCCUUUCGGCUCUUGACCAAGAUUUAGGACGAGACAGGGACGUACGCGUUUGCACGCUCCACACCCUGCGCCCCGCGCCCCGCGCCAAUCCCGGGCUGGCGGCUGCCCUUCGAGCGCUGGAACCCGGCCCCGCCCCCCGCAGCCUUGCGACCACCCUCCUGUGCAUCAGCCCCACACCUUCUCAUCAGCCGUCCUGAGGUGGAGGCAGUGGAAAGAGGGCAAAGCCAAGGUCCCCCGAGUACACAAGCAUCAUUCCGAAAGCAGGUCCUGGGACCAAGAUGGACGACAAGCGUCGCUGCGCCAAGGUGCCCAUCACGUGGUAGGCGAGCGCUGCGUGAAAACCGAGGCGCCGGCGCAGGAGGUUAGGACCCCCUGGACCUGCAGCACUGCAACCCGGAGGAUGGCAAGGCCUGGCCCAAGGCUGUUUCCGGGAGGACGAGGAUGACUCCGCAACCAGGAGUACCGACUCUGAAUAAACUUACAAAUUUUACCAAAGGAAAAACCACAAACAGAACAAAACAAACAAAAAACAGAAACAACAGUUCUGGAGGCCAGAAGUCUAAAAUCAAGGUGCGAGUUCCCUUGUGACGCAGCCAGUUAAGGAUCCAGAAGCUGGGUCGCUGGGGUUGGGGGGGGAACUUCCACGUGCAGGGGCGGGCCAAAAAGAAAAAAUAAAUUAAAAAGUAAAAUAACAUUUUAAAAGGUGUUGUCAGCAUCGAUAUCUUAUGGAAGCUCUAUGAAUCCCUUACCUCUUUUCUAUUUUUGAUGGUUAAUGCAGUCCUUAGCCUUCUUUGACUCAUACUUGCAUAACUUGCCUCUGCCUCCAUCUUCACCUGGCUUCCCCCUGUAUCUCUGUGUCAAAUCUCCCUUCGCUUUCUCUUUGUAUACCAGUCAUUGGGUUUAUAAGGCCACCUAAAUCUGGGAUUAUCUCAUCCCAAAAUCCUUAUUCUAAUUACAUGUGCAAAGAUCCUAUUUCCAAAUAAUGUCACAUUCAUAGGUACUAAAGGUUAAGACUUGAACAGAUCUUUGGGGAAAUACUAAACAAUCUUUAUGAAAGCUUGAGAACAAGGAUUUUCCUCCUACUUCUCCUUUAUUCCAGGAACUGUGCCAGGCACCAAAAAUCCAUAAAUGAGGAGUAUCAGUGCAGUCCCUGUCCUCGUGCCUAGAGUCCAUUCUUCACCUUCUACACUGCCAAGGCCCUAUUUGAAUGGUCUCCUACUUUUUCUCCCAGCCUCCAGUCUAACUGAUCUGAAAUACAACAAAACACAGCAAAACCCUAUACUAACC
rnacentral:lncRNA from 1 species